AAAGCUUUAGCUUAAUUAAAGUGUCUGUUUUGCAUGCAGGAAAUGUGAGAUAAUGUCUCGCAAGUUUUA
rnacentral:tRNA from 1 species